rnacentral:hammerhead_ribozyme from 1 species
AUCCAGCUGACGAGUCCCUAACAGGAAGAAAUACAUAUCCUAGAU